UUUUAAUCCCUCUUCUCUCAAUUCUCUCUGAAACCUCACACGAACCCUAUCCGCCGCCAUCAAUUCCCACCCUAAUCUACAUCAAACCCUACCUAAUCCAUGGCCAUUGAAGAUGUUUAUCGGCCUUCCAUGGCUCCUGGGUGUUUGUUUCUGUGGUUUCAUGGCGAGUCCUCGAAGGAAUCUGGUUCAGUCCUUGCUCAACUUCUGUUCAUGGCCUUUCUCCGUCCACCCAUAACCUUUCUCCGGCCAUUCAUAGCCUUUCAAGGCCGAUCCUUGACUUUUUCUGGUUAGAUCGUUAACUUUCCAAGUCUUUCUCACUUAUUUUGAAUUUUUUGAAACCC
rnacentral:lncRNA from 1 species